UACGGGGGGAGCAAGCGUUGUCCGGAAUUAUUGGGCGUAAAGGGCUCGUAGGCGGUUUGUCGCGUCGGGAGUGAAAUCCACUGGCUUAACUGGUGGCUUGCUUUCGAUACGGGCAGACUGGAGGUAUGCAGGGGAGAACGGAAUUCCUGGUGUAGCGGUGAAAAUGCGCAGAUAUCAGGAGGAACACCGGUGGCGAAGGCGGUUCUCUGGGCAUGUCCUGACGCUGAGGAGCGAAAGUGUGGGGAGCGAACAGG
rnacentral:rRNA from 1 species